AUUGAACGCUGGCGGCAUGCCUUACACAUGCAAGUCGAACGGCAGCACGGGAGCAAUCCUGGUGGCGAGUGGCGAACGGGUGAGUAAUAUAUCGGAACGUGCCCAGUCGUGGGGGAUAACGCAGCGAAAGCUGUGCUAAUACCGCAUACGAUCUACGGAUGAAAGCGGGGGAUCGCAAGACCUCGCGCGAUUGGAGCGGCCGAUAUCAGAUUAGGUUGUUGGUGGGGUAAAAGCCCACCAAGCCGACGAUCUGUAGCUGGUCUGAGAGGACGACCAGCCACACUGGAACUGAGACACGGUCCAGACUCCUACGGGAGGCAGCAGUGGGGAAUUUUGGACAAUGGGCGCAAGCCUGAUCCAGCAAUGCCGCGUGCAGGAUGAAGGCCUUCGGGUUGUAAACUGCUUUUGUACGGAACGAAACGGUCUGCUCUAAUACAGCGUACUAAUGACGGUACCGUAAGAAUAAGCACCGGCUAACUACGUGCCAGCAGCCGCGGUAAUACGUAGGGUGCGAGCGUUAAUCGGAAUUACUGGGCGUAAAGCGUGCGCAGGCGGUUAUAUAAGACAGAUGUGAAAUCCCCGGGCUCAACCUGGGACCUGCAUUUGUGACUGUAUAGCUAGAGUGCGGCAGAGGGGGAUGGAAUUCCGCGUGUAGCAGUGAAAUGCGUAGAUAUGCGGAGGAACACCGAUGGCGAAGGCA
rnacentral:rRNA from 1 species